rnacentral:pre_miRNA from 1 species
CAAAUACUCCCUCCAUCCUAAAUUUUUUUUUUAAAUUUUUCUAGAUAUGAAUGUAUCGAGUCACAUUUUAGCAUUUAUAUACAUUCAUUUGUAGACAAACCUAAGACAAGAAUUUUGGGACGAAUGGAGUAAAAG